rnacentral:rRNA from 1 species
CCCUUACGGCCAGGGCUACACACGUGCUACAAUGGGGCGUACAGAGAGCUGCGAUACCGCGAGGUGGAGCCAAUCUCUUAAAGCGUCUCUCAGUUCGGAUUGUUCUCUGCAACUCGAGAACAUGAAGCUGGAAUCACUAGUAAUCGCAGAUCAGCUAUGCUGCGGUGAAUACGUUCCCGGGUCUU